CUCUAUUAGAAACAUUAUGGUCUUCACAUCCUCUUUAGCCACGGAGCAGAGGGUUCCCGCAGGUAGUUGGAAAGAGCCCACAGAAGUAGAGGGAAGCUGGCUCAGGAUCUACUCUUCACCUUGUCUCUCCAGCAAAGUAGCGCAGAAGGCGGGAUGAGCUACUUCGCGGACCCAGCAGUGAGCGGCAUGGCCCCUUACCCUGCAGCUCGGCCUGGAGCAAUGAGGCAGGGGCUUAUCCACACCUAUGAAGAUCCUCGAAUGGCCUGUGGCUUCCAGUCCAGUUAUCACCAGCAGAAGACUUGCUACCCAUUGUGGGAUGAGAUGGCCACUCAGGAAGUUCCUACUGGUCUUGAACACUGUGGCUCAG